GAUGAACGCUGGCGGCGUGCCUAAUACAUGCAAGUCGAGCGAACAGACGAGGAGCUUGCUCCUCUGACGUUAGCGGCGGACGGGUGAGUAACACGUGGAUAACCUCCCUAUAAGACUGGGAUAACUACGGGAAACCGGAGCUAAUACCGGAUAAUAUAUUGAACCGCAUGGUUCAAUAGUGAAAGACGGUUUUGCUGUCACUUAUAGAUGGAUCCGCGCCGCAUUAGCUAGUUGGUAAGGUAACGGCUUACCAAGGCAACGAUGCGUAGACGACCUGAGAGGGUGAUCGGCCACGCUGGGACUGGGACACGGUCCAGACUCCUACGGGAGGCAGCAGUAGGGACUCUUGCGCAAUGGGCGAAAGCCUGACGGAGCAACGCCGCGUGAGUGAUGAAGGUCUUCGGAUCGUAAAACUCUGUUAUUAGGGAAGAACAAAUGUGUAAGUAACUAUGCACGUCUUGACGGUACCUAAUCAGAAAGCCACGGCUAACUACGUG
rnacentral:rRNA from 1 species